rnacentral:rRNA from 1 species
AAAUUGACGGGGGCCCGCACAAGCGGUGGAGCAUGUGGUUUAAUCGAAGCAACGCGAAGAACCCUUUACAGGUCUUGACAUCCCGAUGCUAUUUCUAGAGAUAGAAAGUUACUUCGGUACAUCGGUGACAGGUGGUGCAUGGUUGUCGUCAGCUCGUGUCGUGAGAUGUUGGGUUAAGUCCCGCAACGAGCGCAACCCCUAUUGUUAGUUGCCAUCAUUCAGUUGGGCACUCUAGCGAGACUGCCGGUAAUAAACCGGAGGAAGGUGGGGAUGACGUCAAAUCAUCAUGCCCCUUAUGACCUGGGCUACACACGUGCUACAAUGGUUGGUACAGACGGAGGCGAAGCCGCGAGGCGGAGCAAAUCCGAAAAAGCCGGUCUCAGUUCGGAUUGCAGGCUGCAAUUCGCCUGCAUGAAGUCGGAAUCGCUAGUAAUCGCAGGUCAGCAUACUGCGGUCGAAUACGUUCCGGGCCUU